GGAAAGUGCAUAUUUUGUUGCUCAAGGAUGUGUCACCCCGUAACUGUCAGUGGAAUAUUCUUGUGCGCAUCCCACGAUCUGGGGAUACAGAGAUCAACCGAUGCCCCUCUAUGAACUAGACAUUAUAGUCAUAGAUCAUGAGAUAGGGCGAAGUGGUCAUGCCCUCGCAUUUUUCCACGGUGCGAGACCGGCCGCGCGGAGGCAGAUGACCGGUUUCCGCCGCUGCUAACCUGCCUUUAUUCUCAUGGGGAGUGACGCCAUCUCUGCUUCUCACACCGUUGCCUCAUGCAGCCGGUGAUACACCACCCCUAGCCGACGAGGUGUUCCGUGGAGGUGCCUUACCGCGACAUCCCACUCAGACCCGCCAGCUCGGUCUCUGAUUUGACUACAACAUUUCCAGUGACAGGAAUCCUGAACUAACGAUCUCAACAUCAAAAUUCGGUGUGAUAUUGAAUAGAGACUUUGACAAGUUUUGUUCAUUAUUUGUUUUCAGGUAAUCUUACAGGGAAGAAUCACAGGUUUUAGAAAUAUGGAGAGAAGGUCACGUGUACGAGCAACGUUGCACCACAGGCCCAAUAUGAUAUGGCGUCAAGUGGAUUAUACCAUGAUGAAGGGAAACCGAGUAUCUGACAAAGAUUUAAAUCAUCACAAAUAGUUGUGAUCCUCUUCUUGAUCAAGGAAAGAAGAGGAAAGUGUUGAUGCAUCUGAUCAAACAAUAAUGCUGCACCAGUCACAGGUGAUACUUCAUGGGAAGUUCUGGAAGUUUUAGUCCCAUCAAUGAUCAAUCCAGUGAGUAGACAAACCGCUUAUUCUGAGCCCUGAACAGGCUCUCAUGCUGGACUUCAUGAAUCCCAUGAAGGUCCAAAUAUUAUGCACAUCAGACUGUUGCUGAUGAAGAAAAACCACCAUUUCUGAUCAGCUAGCCAAGCAAGUAAUUCAGUUCCUACCAGUGGUGAUGAUCCAGUUCUUUGUUUAUUUCUAUUUCUUCGUUUUUUUUCAGGAUGUAUCGUCAGCUUUUACUUGGCUGUUCGAGGAAAAUAGUUGUUGCUUUUCUCCAGACCUCAAAAAUCAGGACAUCGUAAAAGUUCUGUUAGGAAUUGGAUUAUUUAUUUCCAAAAAAUUGUCUGUUAGAAAAUUUGACUCA